UCCUACGGGAGGCAGCAGUGAGGAAUCUUCGGCAAUGGGGGCAACCCUGACCGAGCGACGCCGCGUGCGGGAAGACGGCCUUCGGGUUGUAAACCGCUUUUGGGUGGGACGAGAUGAAGGACGGUACCACCCGAAGAAGCCUCGGCUAACUACGUGCCAGCAGCCGCGGUAAUACGUAGGAGGCGAGCGUUGUCCGGAGUUACUGGGCGUAAAGGGUGCGCAGGCGGCCAGUUACGUGUGUGGUGAAAUCUCCCGGCUCACCUGGGAGGGUGCCACGCAAACGGGAUGGCUUGAGGCUCGGGGAGGGGCGUGGAAUUCCGGGUGGAGCGGUGAAAUGCGUAGAGAUCCGGAGGAACACCGACGGCGUAAGCAGCGCCCUAAACGAGUCCUGACGCUCAGGCACGAAAGCUGGGGGAGCAAACAGGAUUAGAUACCCCGGU
rnacentral:rRNA from 1 species